UACGUAGGGUGCGAGCGUUGUCCGGAAUUACUGGGCGUAAAGAGCUCGUAGGUGGUUUGUCGCGUUGUUCGUGAAAACUCACAGCUCAACUGUGGGCGUGCGGGCGAUACGGGCAGACUGGAGUACUGCAGGGGAGACUGGAAUUCCUGGUGUAGCGGUGAAAUGCGCAGAUAUCAGGAAGAACACCAAUGGCGAAGGCAGCUCUCUGGGACGGUACUGACACUGAAGGCGCGAAAGCGUGGGGAGCCGAACAGG
rnacentral:rRNA from 1 species